UCCUGGUAGCUCAGAUGGUAAAGAAUCUGUCUGCAAUGCAGGAGACCCAGGUUCAAUCCCUGGGUCAGGAA
rnacentral:tRNA from 1 species